rnacentral:rRNA from 1 species
AGAGUUUGAUCCUGGCUCAGAUUGAACGCUAGCGGGAUGCUUUACACAUGCAAGUCGAACGGCAGCACGAGAGAGCUUGCUCUCUUGGUGGCGAGUGGCGGACGGGUGAGUAAUAUAUCGGAACGUGCCCAGUAGCGGGGGAUAACUACUCGAAAGAGUGGCUAAUACCGCAUACGCCCUACGGGGGAAAGGGGGGGAUCGCAAGACCUCUCACUAUUGGAGCGGCCGAUAUCGGAUUAGCUAGUUGGUGGGGUAAAGGCCCACCAAGGCAACGAUCCGUAGCUGGUUUGAGAGGACGACCAGCCACACUGGGACUGAGACACGGCCCAGACUCCUACGGGAGGCAGCAGUGGGGAAUUUUGGACAAUGGGGGAAACCCUGAUCCAGCCAUCCCGCGUGUAUGAUGAAGGCCUUCGGGUUGUAAAGUACUUUUGGCAGAGAAGAAAAGGCAUCCCCUAAUACGGGAUGCUGCUGACGGUAUCUGCAGAAUAAGCACCGGCUAACUACGUGCCAGCAGCCGCGGUAAUACGUAGGGUGCAAGCGUUAAUCGGAAUUACUGGGCGUAAAGCGUGUGUAGGCGGUUCGGAAAGAAAGAUGUGAAAUCCCAGGGCUCAACCUUGGAACUGCAUUUUUAACUGCCGAGCUAGAGUAUGUCAGAGGGGGGUAGAAUUCCACGUGUAGCAGUGAAAUGCGUAGAUAUGUGGAGGAAUACCGAUGGCGAAGGCAGCCCCCUGGGAUAAUACUGACGCUCAGACACGAAAAGCGUGGGGAGCAAACAGGAUUAGAUACCGUGGUAGUCCACGCCCUAAACGAUGUCAACUAGCUGUUGGGGCCGUUAGGCCUUAGUAGCGCAGCUAACGCGUGAAGUUGACCGCCUGGGGAGUACGGUCGCAAGAUUAAAACUCAAAGGAAUUGACGGGGACCCGCACAAGCGGUGGAUGAUGUGGAUUAAUUCGAUGCAACGCGAAAAACCUUACCUACCCUUGACAUGUCUGGAAUGCCGAAGAGAUUUGGCAGUGCUCGCAAGAGAACCGGAACACAGGUGCUGCAUGGCUGUCGUCAGCUCGUGUCGUGAGAUGUUGGGUUAAGUCCCGCAACGAGCGCAACCCUUGUCAUUAGUUGCUACGCAAGAGCACUCUAAUGAGACUGCCGGUGACAAACCGGAGGAAGGUGGGGAUGACGUCAAGUCCUCAUGGCCCUUAUGGGUAGGGCUUCACACGUCAUACAAUGGUCGGGACAGAGGGUCGCCAACCCGCGAGGGGGAGCCAAUCUCAGAAACCCGAUCGUAGUCCGGAUCGCAGUCUGCAACUCGACUGCGUGAAGUCGGAAUCGCUAGUAAUCGCGGAUCAGAAUGUCGCGGUGAAUACGUUCCCGGGUCUUGUACUCACCGCCCGUCA